GAUGAACGCUGGCGGCGUGCCUAAUACAUGCAAGUCGAGCGAACAGAUAAGGAGCUUGCUCCUUUGACGUUAGCGGCGGACGGGUGAGUAACACGUGGAUAACCUACCUAUAAGACUGGGAUAACUUCGGGAAACCGGAGCUAAUACCGGAUAACAUAUUGAACCGCAUGGUUCAAUAGUGAAAGGCGGCUUUGCUGUCACUUAUAGAUAGAUCCGCGCCGUAUUAGCUAGUUGGUAAGGUAACGGCUUACCAAGGCAACGAUACGUAGCCGACCUGAGAGGGUGAUCGGCCACACUGGAACUGAGACACGGUCCAGACUCCUACGGGAGGCAGCAGUAGGGAAUCUUCCGCAAUGGGCGAAAGCCUGACGGAGCAACGCCGCGUGAGUGAUGAAGGUCUUCGGAUCGUAAAACUCUGUUAUCAGGGAAGAACAAAUGUGUAAGUAACUGUGCACAUCUUGACGGUACCUGAUCAGAAAGCCACGGCUAACUACGUG
rnacentral:rRNA from 1 species